CCGCCACAUUAUUUAUGUAUGUGCCUGUCCCAAGUCAGGAGCCUGUAAUUAAGUGGUUGUCGUUUGUUUAUGUGUUAUAUAUUUGUUUUUCGUUCAUUUUUUUUAUAUAAAUAAGGCCAUUAGUUUUCUCGUUUGAAUUGUUUUACAUUGUCUUAUCGGGGCCUAUUAUAGCUGACUAUGCGGUAUGGGCUGCUCAUUGUUGAAGGCCGUACGGUGACCUAUAGUUGUUAAUGUCUGUGUCAUUUUG
rnacentral:lncRNA from 1 species